GAUGAACGCUGGCGGCGUGCCUAAUACAUGCGAGUCGAGCGAACAGACGAGGAGCUUGCUCCUCUGACGUUAGCGGCGGACGGGUGAGUAACACGUGGAUAACCUACCUAUAAGACUGGGAUAACUUCGGGAAACCGGAGCUAAUACCGGAUAAUAUAUUGAACCGCAUGGUUCAAUAGUGAAAGACGGUUUUGCUGUCACUUAUAGAUGGAUCCGCGCCGCAUUAGCUAGUUGGUAAGGUAACGGCUUACCAAGGCAACGAUGCGUAGCCGACCUGAGAGAGUGAUAGGCCACACUGGAACUGAGACACGGUCCAGGCGCCUACGGGAGGCAGCAGUAGGGAAUCUUCCGCAAUGGGCGAAAGCCUGACGGAGCAACGCCGCGUGAGUGAUGAAGGUCUUCGGAUCGUAAAACUCUGUUAUUAGGGAAGAACAAAUGUGUAAGUAACUAUGCACGUCUUGACGGUACCUAAUCAGAAAGCCACGGCUAACUACGUG
rnacentral:rRNA from 1 species